rnacentral:rRNA from 1 species
UACGUAGGGUGCAAGCGUUAAUCGGAAUUACUGGGCGUAAAGCGUGCGCAGGCGGCUCGGAAGGAAAGAUGUGAAAUCCCAGGGCUUAACCUUGGAAUGGCAUUUUUAACUCCCGAGCUAGAGUAUGUCAGAGGGGGGUAGAAUUCCACGUGUAGCAGUGAAAUGCGUAGAGAUGUGGAGGAAUACCGAUGGCGAAGGCAGCCCCCUGGGAUGAUACUGACGCUCAUGCACGAAAGCGUGGGGAGCAAACAGG